CUCGAGAGAGUAUAAGCUGGAAGAAGUCAAUUAUUUAUAAGCAAAUUAUAGCUGGCUUCUCACAUGAAAAAACACAGUUAGGCAUAAAUAAAGCUGCCUGGUGCCGAACACUCCUGCAUUGCAGUACAACUGACACACCAGCACCUGACGCAGGGGAUCAUUCUUUGUCGAGUGAACAUGAAUCGACCUGGGAAAUACAGCAGUGUCACAUCCUUGAUCAAAGAUUUACAACGGGAAUUACUACAUCAAAACAGGUGCUGACUUUCCCCAGCAAUCUUGUUCGGGUGGAUUUCCAGGAGUUUGACCCAGUGAAGGCACAGUGAAGAGAUGGAAGAGGAACAGAUGCACAUCAAACCCUGGAGAAGAUGCCAAUCAGCCUCCACAUGAGGAACUCGCAGCUGAAGUUUCUCUCUGGAUGAGACACAGGAGAACCAGAGUCUAUCACCCUCAGUGCCGUUCCCCUCCGGGUGAGUGAGGCACAGUGUUAGCAUAGACUGAGAUGUCCCGGGACACUGUCACUGAACUGGAUCAACUUCUGGACCCUGAAGCAGUGGGUGGCCAUCCCA